rnacentral:lncRNA from 1 species
CAGCCUGUCUCCCCAUAAGGGGAGCCGCAGUGCCCUUCCGGGGGGGCGAGGGACACACCACUCGGACACUGUCACAGUCGGGAGUGGACACGGCCCCGGACAUCGCUGCGCCAGCCAGGCCCUCACUCGGCCUCUUCGGCCUCGACCCCACCCCCACCCGGCUCUGACUCUUUGUUCGGAGGACAAAGGGCUCCGGCAGAGCCUCUGGGUCCUGCUGACUCUGCACCCCCUCCCAGAACAGGACAAAGGGGGGACGCGAAGCUUCUGAUGCCUCAGCCAGUUUCUGUGGAGGCUGCAAGGGCAGGGAGGCUGGCUGAAGGACGGAGGCCUGGGGACAGAGCCACGCGGGCAGGUGCCCCGAUCCCUCGUCCUAGGAACCCAGAGGCUGGCCCGGGGAGAGGGGCUGGGCCCAGAGGAACCAGCAGGUCUGGGUCAGAGCCGAGCCCCAGCCCAUGGGCCACAGCUGUCCAGCCCACGGGCCCAGCUCCGGGCCUGCCUGAGUGGGGACAUUUGGGGGCUUACGGUGGGGCUGUACAGGCCUUUCCAGGGGCGCAGCCUGUGGCCCAGAGAUUGGGAGUCUCCGCCAUCCCAGGAGGGUGACCAGAGGGCACCCACCCAGCAGCUUCGAGGCCCCGGCAGGAAGGGGAAGGGGCCUGCACAGGCCGCGCUGCUCUGAAACAGGACCGGGAGCUCUCGCCCCGCAGGGCUUGGCGGUGGGAUGGACUCUGGCUCCCUGGCUGUCCCUGGCCUGCCCGGGGGGCGCUGUGUGCUUCGGCCCCUGCAGGAGGGGGAGGGUCCCAGCGGCUCCGAACCAGGGCAGCUGCCAUCUGGAAACCACUUCCACCUGUUUUAGACCCCGUGUCUGCACCAUGACUGCGGGGGGUCCCCUUCGGGAGGUGUCACAUGAAGCCGUCCUGCAGACCCCUGCCCUCCGGGGAGGCAAGACGCACCAACGAGCGACUGAGUCCAUCAUGAGCUUGGGCAGAGCAGGGGCAACGGAGCCCAGGAAAGAGCCCUCAGGGUCCUGGUCGCAGGCGGACGUUCUGUCGUCUGAGUUAUGCUACGGCGUGGUGUCAGCGUGGCUACAAAGCGACAGUCUGGAUGCUGCCGAGCAGCAGCGCAGAAAGGAGGCGGCACAGGAGGAACGGUCAGAGGUUUCCUCCUUCUUCAAAAAAAAAAAGAAAAAAAAAAAGAAAAAGAAAAAAAAGCUAGCCUCUUGUGUGGCUGAAAUGGAACUCAGUGUCACUGAGAAACAAGCCUCCUUUAUACGCAGCCCAGGACAACGUGUUUAUUUAUUUAUUUUUAACAGUCGCGAGUUACAGUACUCCGCACCCUCCAUGCACUCUUUGCAACCACAUGUCCUUUUCAAAAGUCUCUUUUUCCCAAACAUUCCAUCCAAAGGAUGAAUGGUCUCUUUGCACCAGUAACAUCCAAAUGUUCAAGUCAAAAAUAUGUGUACAUUUUAUACUUAGUUCUUUUUUUUUUUUUUUUGUCUGCUAAAAAUAGUAUUGCAAGUUUUGGCUUCUUUUGACAUAAAAAUUACAAUCAUGUGCGAAACGCUAACAAUGAAGCGAUUGAUCAGAAUUCAAGCAGGUUGUCCAAUCUGAAUGUGUUAUAGAUUCUGCAUAAUUUUUCUUUUCAUUUUUUUUUUCCAGCGAAACAAAACAAACACACACACAAACAAAAACCAGAAACCCUUGCCAUGUCAGAAACAUCUUGUACCGAGCCCCCGCGCUCUCCGGCCGCCAGCGGGUGACACGCUCGCCCGGGGCUGGCUGGCUGACAGAGUGACAAAUUCCCGCAGCAGCAACGUUCGGAAACAGUAGUUAAAGCUCAAGACAGCUAUGCACUCUCCAUUCUGCGUUGAGGAUUUACCGCUGCAGAGGCAAAAAAGCAGGUUUUCUCGGAGUUCUCGGUUGGUGAACGGGCCAGAGGCCUUUUUCUACUUGUAGCAAGCUAUUUCCCUAAAAAUAACCCGUUUGAGGGGCACCUAAGCAGUCAACGGCUGGGGUGGCAGGCACUGGGCCAGUGCUGGAACGUUCCGGCCAUCGGGUGCCGCCAGGGCAGCGCUGGGCCGGGCGCAGAGCAGGCCCCUCCCAGGCUGAGCCUCUGCCCCCUCCCUCUAAACACAGAGGAGAAACACGCUGGCCCUGGCGGCCGGGCAGGCCGGCAGGCUGCCCACCCCAGGGCCUCUCCCCCGGCCUCUGGUCCGCCUUCAGGGGCAAGGUAGCACAGUCCGUCAAGUGCAAGGUCAAGCAGUCACAGAGAACUCUGGGCGAGACCAGACACAGUGCAAGACAGGAUUCAAGUACAGAGGCGCGCCGGCCAGGCGGGCGGCCCCCCGAGCUCACAGGAUCUGUCACACCUCCGGUCCCUUCUCCUGGACCUUCUCCUGGACGGUCCCGC